CGAAUGAGGAGAUUCAUCGUCAGCUUAUUCAGUAUUAAUGCAGGCUAUGAUGUGAUAAUAGAACCCUUGUGGUCACUAGAUUAUACUUGCUUGUAUUAUUUUUGCUGGGUAUGUCGGCGUGCACUUCUCCUCUAGUAGAACGUCGCAACCCGUUGGAUGUUUAUCUAUGGCUUGAAUGGUAGCCUUUGAUAUUUUUUAUAUUAAAGACCUUCGAUGUCCUGAUAAACUGUUUGACGGUAUACAUAUGGUAUUGAGCCGCAAUUAUUUGCGUUAGACUUGCCGCAAGUAUGACUUUAUUCUAGUAGUGCGGAUCUAAUGCCGUCGCUGGACAAAGUCUGCUGUUAGCUGUGUAA
rnacentral:rRNA from 3 species